rnacentral:rRNA from 1 species
GGGCCCGCACAAGCGGUGGAGCAUGUGGUUUAAUUCGAAGCAACGCGAAGAACCUUACCAGGUCUUGACAUCCUUUGAAGCUUUUAGAGAUAGAAGUGUUCUCUUCGGAGACAAAGUGACAGGUGGUGCAUGGUCGUCGUCAGCUCGUGUCGUGAGAUGUUGGGUUAAGUCCCGCAACGAGCGCAACCCUUAUUGUUAGUUGCCAUCAUUCAGUUGGGCACUCUAGCAAGACUGCCGGUGACAAACCGGAGGAAGGUGGGG